UUUUGCCUGUGAUGAUUAAAGUUAUCCCUGUCAGAUAAAGAUGUUGACAUAGAUUAUCUGAGGCAAAU